rnacentral:rRNA from 1 species
UACGAAGGGGGCUAGCGUUGUUCGGAUAUACUGGGCGUAAAGCGCACGUAGGCGGCGCAGCAAGUCAGGGGUGAAAUCCCGGAGCUCAACUCCGGAACUGCCUUUGAAACUGCAGUGCUAGAAUCCUGGAGAGGCGAGUGGAAUUCCGAGUGUAGAGGUGAAAUUCGUAGAUAUUCGGAAGAACACCAGUGGCGAAGGCGACUCGCUGGACAGGUAUUGACGCUGAGGUGCGAAAGCGUGGGGAGCAAACAGG